GAUGAAGAACGCAGCGAAAUGCGAUAAGUAAUGUGAAUUGCAUAAUUCAGUGAAUCAUCGAAUCUUUGAACGCACCUUGCGCCCUUUGGCCAUUCCGAAGGGCAUGCCUGUUUGAGUAUCAUGAACACCUCAACUCUUUAUGGUUUUCCAUGAUGAGCUUGGACUCUGGGGGUUUUGCUGGCUCACAGUCGGCUCCUCUAAAAUGAAUCAGCUUACCAGUGUUUGGUGGGUAUCAUGGGUGUGAUAACUAUCUACGCUUGUGGUUUUUCCACCAGGUAACCUUCAGCAGUGGAGGUUCGCUGGAGCUCAUAGAUGUCUCUCCUCAGUGAGGACAGCCCUUUGAAUGUUUGAUCUCAAAUCAGGUAGGACUACCCGCUGAACUUAAGCAUAUCAAUAAGCGGAGGA
rnacentral:misc_RNA from 1 species